AUGCUGCCAAUAUGCUUUAUUUUCUUUUUCUUACUGAUUAGCUCUAAGCCAUCCACGUCUUCAGGAAACACCACAGAUCAGCUGGCUGUCUUGCUGGGAUGUCGUGCUGUGAUACCUUGUCAACAAUCGAGCAGUGGCUCGGACUCUUUCAAAUGGUUUUACAAGAAGGACGAACACAGAGAACAAGUCCAGAUAUUCUUUAGAGACAGAAGUGGUAUAGUGCGCCAUGAUGCCUUUCUUCCAAGAAGGGUAGUUAUGCCUAAUCGCUCUUUGGUCAUCAAUCAUUUCACUGAAAAUGACCAGGGCAUGUAUUGGUGUGUAAACUGUCGUCAAGACAAAUGCUGGGAUAAACAGUCAGCAGUCAUCAGAGUGAAGAAAGGAAUUCUAAGUGAAAUGUAUAAAUUAAUUUACAUUGCUGAGGGUGAGAGUUUUACACAUGAAUGUCCGGGUGAAUUCACUGACUUCAACUGGACUUUUAAGGGUAAUAAUGAACUAAUGACUUCCAACAAGUCUAUACAUAUUGUAAAAGUCAAACAAGAAAAUACUGGAAAAUACACCUGCUGGACGACACUAUGUAACGGACACAUUCAGAAUCUACUGACCAUCAACCUGUGUGUGGUUACAGGGUGGGAUGUGAUAUUUAAUAACACCAACAGCAGCGUGGCAGUAAAUACAUCACAGCAUGUAGACCUGUUCGGGUCCAUAAUGUGCAGCGCCAAGCAGAUGUUUGAUGGAUACACUACAGUCAGUCAUGUGCCGUUACAUAUCUUUAACCAAACAACAGGUGAGUGUUUGACCUCUCCCUUUAAGAAGCUCUGGGACUUAAAUCAUAUUAGUAGACAUCUUUCUGUUUUAGAGGGGGAUUCUAGAGAGCUGCUGCCAGUUAUUUAUGGAACAUCAGUGGUUCUUGGGUGUCUCAUUUUAGUGACGAUUUUUUGCUUCAGAUCAAGAUUGCGAGCAGGUAGGCAGCUCUUUUUGGAGGUUUUGUGUUUGUUCACUAUAGUUUACAGUGUUGAGGUUUAUGUGUCCUAAUUCUAGAUAUCUCUCUGUCUCCAAAGCAUUUCCUGUUCACCUUUGUCUCUGCUGCUCAAAUGGCAGGGUAAGUGUUUGAAGAUGUCAAUAACACAAUGUUUCAGCUACCAUGCAGAAAAGAACAACUGUGUCUGUUGUGUGUGUGUGUGUGUGUGUGUGUCUUACUUCUCAUCAAAGGUGGAAGAGGAAGCUUCGGUAGUAUACGCAUCGAUUGUCAUCCGGGCCCCUGCUAAAACAAGAAAUGAUCCGAUGACUUGCAGUGAUGUUAUCUAUGGAGAAAUUAAAGUAUAAAACAAUAUCUCUGGUCAAAUAGUUAACCAUGUGCACCAUUUCUGUGAUAUGAUUUAGGAAUCAGCGCCUUAGAGACAAUAUGUGUCAUGAAAUUAACCCACGUGGAGAAUUUUUUUUCAGUUUCCAAACUGAUAAUUUGUCAGUGAGUGAUUUUUUCCUUUAACUCAUGAACAGAAGACAAAGCACAUGUCAUAUACUGUAUGUUCAGUUGAGUCUUAAUAAGAAGCAUUGUUUUUAUACUAAUGAUGUGUAAAGAUAUUGUCUUCAGAUACAAGAGCUAUAAGACAUUAUCUGUUUCACUUUCAACCAGCUGGGCUAUAUGUGGCUUCAAUGUUGAUUAGGUUCAGUUCAGUAUUCAGCAUCAGAAAUAAUAAUAAAAAAAUAAAAUAAAUUAAAGGUGCGUAAUGG
ensembl:lncRNA uncharacterized LOC114448804